CAGAGUUCUCUGAGGCUCUCUUCAUUUGUUUUCAAUCUUUUUUCUCUUUUCUGUUCUGCAUCCGCAAUUUCCACUAAUCUGUCCUCCACCUCGCUUAUUUGUUCUUCUGCCUCUUGUAUUCUGCUGUUAGCUGCUUCUAGUGAAUUUUUUAUUUCAGUUAUUGUAUUUUGCACCUCUUCGUGUUUAAGUUUUAUAUCUUGUAUCUCUUUGCUCAGUGUUUCCUGUAAGUUAUCCAUCUUUGCCUCCAGUUUAUUUCCAAAGUCUUGCAUCAGCUUCAGAAUUGACAGCCUAAAUUUCCUAGAGGCUGAGAAUCUCCUCAUGGCUUAGCUGUUUUUCUGGGGUUUUUCCUUUCUCCCUCAUCUGAGUUAUAGUUCUCUGUCUUUUCAUUUUUAUAGGUUUUUGGUGUGGUGACCUUUUUACAGAUAGUAAAGUUGUAGCCUCUGUUACUUCUGGUGUCUGCCCCCCUUGUGGCUGAAGUCAGUAUGGGGGGCUGCUGUAGGCUUCCUGAAGAGAGGGGCUGAUAACUGCCCACUGGUAGGUGGAGCUGAUUCUAAUCCCUCUGGAUGGGAUCAGAGGCAGCUGUGUGCCUGAGGGGUCUUUAGGUAGCCUGUUUACUGAGGGGUGGGGCUGUGAUCCCAACUGGAUUGUUGUUUGCCCUGGGGCUUCUCAGCAGCUGCCUGACGGGUGGGGCCAGAUUUUCCCAAAAUGGUCACCUCCAGAGAAACAUAUGCUGAUGAAUAUUCCUGAGAGCUUUGCUUUCAAUGUCCUUCCCCCACACCACGCCACAUUCACCCCUGUUUUCCCAGGAUGUCCUCCAAGAACUGCGGUAAGGUUUGACCUGGAUUCCUAUGGAGAUCUCGCUCUGCCCUGGGACCCAAUGCAUAUGAAAGUCUGUGUGCGCCUUUUAAGAAUGAGGUCUCCGUUUCCCCCAGUCCCGUGGAGCUCCUGCGCACAAGCCCCACUGGCUUUCAAUGCCAGAUGCUCCAGUGCCUCUUUCUCCCAGUGCCAGAUCCCCACACAUGAGAGUUUGAUGUGUGGCUCAGAACUCUCACUCCUGUAGGUGAGUCUCUGUGAACCAGUUAGUUUCCAGUCUGUGGGGCUUCCCACCUGGGAGGUAUGGGGUUGUUUAUAUCGUGAAAUCGCCCCUCCUACCUCUUGAUGUGGCCUCCUCUUUUUCUUCUGGAGUAGGGUAUCUUUUUUAAGGUUUCCAGUCCAUUUGGGUGGAGAUUGCUCAGCCUUUAGUUGUGAAUUUUGUUGUUUUUUGGAGAGAAGUUGAGCUCCAGUCCUUCUAUUCUGCCGUCUUAAUUCUCUCUUGAGAGAGAAUGUUUCUUUUGUUUUUCUCCCAUCUCUGAUCUGUGUGGUUGGUAGGUUGGAACUUCCAGGAUGGUCCUCAGAGAUCUCUGCCUCCUGGUGUCAUGUUGUUGUUAGUCCUCUUCCCUUGAGGGUGGGUUUGACUUUGUUACUUCCUUCUAAUGAGUAGAAUGUGGCAGAAGUGGUGGUAUGAGUCUCCCAUUUUUAGGUUAGUGAUCUAAAGACUGGCUUCUCAUUUGAUCUCUCUCCCUCUCUGUCUACCCUCUCCCCCUUCUCUGUUUCUCUCACCAUUUUCUAUGAGGCACAACAGCUUUUGCAUUUUAAGGACAGCACCGUAUAGAGAGAGGCACUUGGCAAGGAAGUGAGUUAUCUAGUGAGGAACUGACAUCUGUCCACAGCCACACGGGAGAGCUUAGAAAUGGAUCUUUCCAUUGACUGCAGCUGUAGUCAGUACUUUGACUGGAUUCUCAUAAGUAACCCUCAGAAGUAUCCCCCAGAUAAACUGUUCCCACACUGCAGAUCCUCAGUAACUUUGUGAGAUAAUAGAUUUGCUAAAUCUGGGGAUAGUUUGUCAUGCAUUAAUGGACAACCAGAACAAAUUUUGGUACCUGGAAGUGCUGCCAUAACAAAAUGCUAAAAUGUGGGAGCAGCUUUGGAAUCAGGUGGUGAACUUUGAUGAUGGUAUUUGUGAAAGUCUAGAGUGUCUUGAGGGAGCUAUUUAUAGAAAUUUCAUGGUCAUUGAUAAGAGCUUACAGGACAGGGAGGCUAAUUUUAUUGGAAACUGGAUAGAUGUAGAUACUAGUUUUUGUUGUUGUGUUUUGUUUUUUUGUCUUUUUAGGCUGUACCUGUGGCAUAUGGAAGUUCAGCUAGGGGUCAUGUCAGAGCUGUGGCCUCCAGCCUAUGCCAUAGCCACAGCAACGCUGGAUCUGAGCUGCAUCUGUGACCAACACCACAGCUUGUGUCAGUGCCACAUCCUUAACCCACUGAGGUAGGCCAGGGAUCAGUCUUCAUUCUCAACCCACUGAGCCACAGUGGGAAUUCCCAGAUAUGCCAGUUUUGUAGUGGCAGAAAGUUUUCUAAUGCUAUUUCCCAUGUUAAUGAAGAAAGUAGAAAUUAUGAUUAAAGAAUUGAGAAGUCUAGCUAAGAUUUCCAAGCAAAGUGUUGGCAGUGCCACCUGUUGUCUUUUUGCUACUUACAGUAAAAUAUAAGAGGAUAUACAUAAACUAAAUUAAAUACUGUUAAACACAAAGGAGCAAGGAAUUUGUGGUUUUGAAAAUUCUCAGCUUCUGGAGAAAUGAUAAAUGAUGCCAAAAUUAAUUGAUGAUCUCUAAGAAAAUCUCAAACCCAGGGCACUGUUGGUAAAACUAGCAGAAAUCAAGGCAAGGGUGUGACUGUGAAAUCUUUUGUUAAGACCUUAGAAAGAUCAAAAGUGGUUCCUCAGUCAUAAAAACUCCUUCAAAAGAGAAUAGGGUUGUGUCUCAAAGAUCCUUUUACUCAUACAGUAGCACCUCUGUGUAGCAUAAGGACGUUGUGUCUCAGCAGAAUGCCAGAGUAUUCUGCUGAGCCUCAAGGAACCCCAAGAUUUGCAGGGGACCUUUCAGGUUCUUAAAAAUAAUUAAAUAUGCAGAAGCAUCCCCCCUAGCUGUGAGAAGAACAGUGAUAAAUAAGAGUGAGGAGAGGCCCUCUGGCCCCCAGAAUUAUAUUGGCAGAAAUCAGAGUGGGAGCUAUUUAGCUAAAAACCUUUUAUACUGUUCAUGUGAAAGGAAAGAUAGCUCAAAUAACAGAACCAAGGUCCAAAGAGCAGAGCAGAGAGCCACAGAGAAUUAUUCCCAGGCCAUCCAAACAUAAUUAGGGAAUUUUCAGAAUUUCCCAGCUGGAUUUCAAAAUUGCUAUGGUCCAGUGACAUCUUCCUACUUACCAUUCACUUACUUUUUGAACAGGGAUGUCUCGACACAUUAUUUUAGCCUUUUCCAUCAUUGCAUGCUUGGUGUGUGGGGAUGCAAAUAACUUCUCUAUAGUUUUGCACAUGCACGUCUACAGAUUGAGAAAAACUGUACUCAAUGAGCCAUAGUUAAGGAACCACGCCUGAGGAGCCUUGUCCACACCUGGGCCUAGUAGAAAUGGUAAGAUUCAAAACUGAGCAGAAGCAGUAAUGGGAAGAGACUUGGGAGAACCCUGGGAUAGAAUGAGGAGUGUGUUAUUCUUGUGGGAUAGGAAUGAAUCAGGUGACUAGAACACAAUGUGAUGUUAUUUCUGACGUUAGAUUAUUAAACAACUCGAGCUUCCAUCUUGGGUUUUUCUUCUCACCAUCUGCCUCUGUCCGUGUCUCCCUGUCUCUGUCUCUUCUUGCUUAUUCUGCAAUGCCAUUGGUCACUGGAAGUACAUCUUUUGAGCCCUGUCUGUCAACACAUGAGUGAUCUUGCGAGUGGAUAUCCCCCUGGUUGAGCCUUUAGAUGACUGCAUACCAGAAUGACAUUUUGAAUUCUGCCUCAUGAAAGACCUUGAGCUAGAACAACCCUAAUAAGCUGCUUCUACAUUCCUGACCCACAGAAACUAUAAGAAGAUAAAUUUGUCAUUUUGGUUGUUUUGUUUAGCCUCUAAUUUGGGGGUAAUUUAUUAAUCCAUAAGAGAUAACUAAUAGAGCUAUUUUAGUUCCUUUGCCUUCCUAUGUAAAUUUUAGAAUUAACUCAUAAAUAUGUACCACCAAAAUGCUAUGCGGAUUUUGGGUUUGCAUUGAUUGAAUCUAUAGAUCAAAUUUAGGUGAACGGAUUUCUCUCUCAAUCUUUUUGAGACUAGGGAAGAAUUUAUUAAGAUACAUAAGUAAAAUUCAUAAAAAAUGUUUAUUUGGAUACGUUAAUGUAAAGAAAAUUCUCUCUGACAAAUUAUACUAAAUACACAUGCUUCAAACUAGAGCAGAUACUCGCAGUGCAUGUAAUCCGCAAAGAACUGGCAUCUUCUAUGGUACGUUCUCUGUAAUAACUCCUGUUAAUAAGUAAGAAAAA
rnacentral:lncRNA from 1 species